GAUUACUCUUGCAAAUGGAUAUAAGAAAGUUAUUGGCUUGCAGCAAGGAUAAAUAUGCAAGGAGGAAUGAGAGCGGUAAGCUAGUCAAGGUAGAGCAGCAGAGUGCAGGAAGAGGUGAAAGAGUGAUGGAAGUUGAUGAGCAUGAGCAGAGGGAUCCCGGUGGAUAAGAAUUUGGAAAAACUGAGGCAACACAUUAGUUGUUAGGUCCUCUUCCCCUUCCUACUGAGACAUGCCCACCUCCAGCAGGUGUGCAUGUUUUUUAGUUGAUUACAGGUCAGACGAGUGGAGCGGCCACACCUGAGGGCAAUGAACAUCAGCCAGCUUUAAAAGCCAAGCAGACGCUCCACCUCGUCGCCCGAUCAACUCGUCUG